UUCAUGUAGGAAUCCAGAUCAGUUUCAUACUGAACCCUGAUUGGUUCCAGACCAGUUGUGACAUCAUAAAGCCUUUUAUUGCCUUUAAUCAAUAGAGAUAAGAGUGACAGGAAAGGGGGGGGAGAGGGAGGACAACACACCCUGAACCGCUACAGCAGGGACUCAGCCUGGUGCCUGGGGGGCCAGGGCUACCAGGUGAGGGGGCCAGGGCUACCAGGUGAGGGGGCCAGGGCUACCAGGGCUACCAGGUGAGGGGGCCUGGGCUACCAGGGCUACCAGGUGAGGGGGCCUUGGCUACCAGGGCUACCAGGUGAGGGGGCCUGGCAGAGCGAAAUAAACUGACUCAGUGACAUAUUUUCAGUAUAUUUCAU